rnacentral:rRNA from 1 species
GACGAACCGUGCGAACGUUGUUCGGAAUCACUGGGCUUAAAGGGCGCGUAGGCGGGUUACCAAGUCAGGGGUGAAAUCUUUCGGCUCAACCGGAAAACUGCCCCUGAUACUGGUAGUCUCGAGGGAGGUAGGGGUGUGUGGAACUUCCGGUGGAGCGGUGAAAUGCGUAGAUAUCGGAAGGAACACCGGUGGCGAAAGCGACGCACUGGACCUCAUCUGACGCUGAGGCGCGAAGGCCAGGGGAGCAAACGGG